AUAGCAUCCUCCUCUGAUCACAAUCAUUGAAUCCAUACACUACUGAGAGCCAGCAGAUAACCCCACCAGUGAUGUGCUGAACUUGACAAUGGAUUAUCUGAGCCUCCUCAAGAUAGCCAGAAACCACAAUUUUUUUAGGAUCCCACAGGAUCCAAAUUCUACCAUUUGCUGCACCACUAUAAUUAGUUAUCAUGUUCCAGUUAGGCAAUAAAAAACUAGCUAUUCUACUAGCAUUCUGUUGUUUAACCUUGGUUUCUACUAGUCCCACNNN
rnacentral:lncRNA from 1 species